GAUGAACGCUGGCGGCGUGCCUAAUACAUGCAAGUCGAGCGAACAGAUGAGGAGCUUGCUCCUCUGACGUUAGCGGCGGACGGGUGAGUAACACGUGGAUAACCUACCUAUAAGACUGGGAUAACUUCGGGAAACCGGAGCUAAUACCGGAUAAUAUAUUGAACCGCAUGGUUCAAUAGUGAAAGACGGUUUUGCUGUCACUUAUAGAUGGAUCCGCGCCGCAUUAGCUAGUUGGUAAGGUAACGGCUUACCAAGGCAACGAUGCGUAGCCGACCUGAGAGGGUGAUCGGCCACACUGGAACUGAGACACGGUCCGGACUCCUACGGGAGGCAGCAGUAGGGAAUCUUCCGCAAUGGGCGAAAGCUUGACGGAGCAACGCCGCGUGAGUGAUGAAGGUCUUCGGAUCGUAAAACUCUGUUAUUAGGGAAGAACAAAUGUGUAAGUAACUAUGCACGUCUUGACGGUACCUAAUCAGAAAGCCACGGCUAACUACGUG
rnacentral:rRNA from 1 species